rnacentral:rRNA from 1 species
AACGAACGCUGGCGGCAGGCUUAACACAUGCAAGUCGAGCGCCUCGCAAGAGGAGCGGCAGACGGGUGAGUAACGCGUGGGAACGUACCCUUAUCUUCGGAAUAGCUCUGGGAAACUGGAAGUAAUGCCGAAUGUGCCCUUAGGGGGAAAGAUUUAUCGGAUAAGGAUCGGCCCGCGUUGGAUUAGCUAGUUGGUGGGGUAAAGGCCUACCAAGGCGACGAUCCAUAGCUGGUCUGAGAGGAUGAUCAGCCACAUUGGGACUGAGACACGGCCCAAACUCCUACGGGAGGCAGCAGUGGGGAAUAUUGGACAAUGGGCGCAAGCCUGAUCCAGCCAUGCCGCGUGAGUGAUGAAGGCCUUAGGGUUGUAAAGCUCUUUCACCGGAGAAGAUAAUGACGGUAUCCGGAGAAGAAGCCCCGGCUAACUUCGUG